rnacentral:antisense_RNA from 1 species
CUCAGCUUCGGCAUUCCAGCCUGGAACAAUCCUCCCAGACCUGGAGGUCCGCCCCCUCCAAAACUUCCACCGCCUCCGCCACCACCUCCUCCGCCAAAUCCGCCGCCUCCACCAAAGCCACCACCACCGCCUCCAGCACCAGCUCCUUUAGGUUCUGCAGAAGAAGAAACACCCGACAGACUAUGCCCCCUGGUCUGGCCCAGAAAUGGACUGGAGAAGCUAAAAAAGAUACUGCUGGACUUGUCACAGCCGCCGGGAAACAAGAAUUAAGACAGUUCGGAAGAGUCCCAUUCAAAGUGGGCGGUCUAGAAAAUGAAAAUUUUAAAUUCCACAGCAGCAACAGCAGCUCUCAUGUAUGGAGAAUCUGCUGGAUCCAGGGCUCUAUCCUUGCGUGGUCUCUGACUCCUAAGACAGCGGAAGCCAGCAUCACUGUGCUCAUUUGAUAGACUCAGAGAAA